UCCGUAGGUGAACCUGCGGAGGGAUCAUAAAUGAAAUUCACUCCCAACCCCUGUGACAUACCAAUUGUUGCCUCGGCGGAUCAGCCCGCUCCCGGUAAAACGGGACGGCCCGCCAGAGGACCCCUAAACUCUGUUUCUAUAUGUAACUUCUGAGUAAAACCAUAAAUAAAUCAAAACUUUCAACAACGGAUCUCUUGGUUCUGGCAUCGAUGAAGAACGCAGCAAAAUGCGAUAAGUAAUGUGAAUUGCAGAAUUCAGUGAAUCAUCGAAUCUUUGAACGCACAUUGCGCCCGCCAGUAUUCUGGCGGGCAUGCCUGUUCGAGCGUCAUUUCAACCCUCAAGCCCAGCUUGGUGUUGGGACUCGCGAGUCAAAUCGCGUUCCCCAAAUUGAUUGGCGGUCACGUCGAGCUUCCAUAGCGUAGUAGUAAAACCCUCGUUACUGGUAAUCGUCGCGGCCACGCCGUUAAACCCCAACUUCUGAAUGUUGACCUCGGAUCAGGUAGGAAUACCCGCUGAACUUAAGCAUAUCAAUAAGCGGAGGA
rnacentral:rRNA from 1 species